CGUUUAAGUCAGAUGUGAAAGACCCGGGGCGUUAACCUCGGAAUUGCAUUUGUAAACUAGGCAGGCUAGAGUCUUGUUAGAGGGGGGUAGGAAGUUUACUAGGUGUAGCGGUGAAAUAGCGUAGAGAUCUGAAGGAAUACCAGUGGCGAAGGCGGCCCCCUCGGACAAAGACUGACGCUCAGAUGCGAAAGCGUGGGGAGCAAACAGGAUUAGAUACCCCUGGUAG
rnacentral:rRNA from 1 species